rnacentral:miRNA from 1 species
UAGUGCUGCAAUGUAAACAUUGCAGAUCUCUGUAACUGCAGUGUUUUACAUUGCAGCACUA